UCUUCCGCAAUGGACGAAAGUCUGACGGAGCAACGCCGCGCGAGUGCUGAAGGUUUUCGGAACGUAAAACUCUGUUGUUAGGCAAGAACAAGUACCGUUCGAAUAUGGCGGCACCUUGACGGUACCUAACUAAAAAGCCACGGCUAACUACGUGCCAGCAGCCGCGGUAAUACGUAGGUGGCAAGCGUUGUCCGGAAUUAUUGGGCGUAAAGCGCGCGCAGGCGGUUUCUUAAGUCUGAUGUGAAAGCCCCCGGCUCAACCGGGGAGGGUCAUUGGAAACUGGGGAGCUUGAGUGCAGAAGAGGAGAGUGGAAUUCCACGUGUAGCGGUGAAAUGCGUAGAGAUGUGGAGGAACACCAGUGGCGAAGGCGACUCUCUGGUCUGUAACUGACGCUGAGGCGCGAAAGCGUGGGGAGCGAACAG
rnacentral:rRNA from 1 species